UUUAUGUGAUUCAUAUUCCAUGGAGCAAUACAUUUUGAUUUUCUAACCACACCUCAAUUCCAAAUCUCUUAGUAUUACCUGUUAUGUGGGAGUGAAAACAAAAGCGUAUAUGAACCAGUCAGGACAAAGUCUAUCUUAAUUCCAUGUCUAUUCACUACACUGUGUUAUUAACUGUGAGCGUUGAACACACCCCAAAUCCAGUUUUAAUACCCAGCUAGUAGCCAUUUGCAGCAGAAGGGGAAUGGCUUGACAUGGCCCAGAGCUCCAUGCAGCUAUAACAGAGCAUGUGAAGAGCAGCUAAAGGAGGAGGGGCUUCGGUUUGAGUGUGCGCGCUGUGGAAAGCUGGUGAGAAAAUACCCAAGAGAGCAAGAGGCAGGAAGAUGCUGCUGUUGCCAGGGAACAGUAUUGAAGGAGAAACGACCAUGUUGUCCAACCAGAGGAUCACAACAUCAUAGAUCCAAAUCAAGUGAGUGAGACUGGACCAGAGCAACAGCUUCGAUAUUCUUAGAUCUUCUACCAAUUGUUUCACGAAUAAGGAAAAUCUGCAAACAGGAAGCUCUGAUUUUGAUCGUGCUCGGCUCCCACCUGUGAAUGUAAACAGACAGGAGUGCUCUGGUCUGCUGUGAGGAAGAGGAGGAGGAACAGGAUCUCGAGAAUCAAGAAGGGGAAAAUCAACCAAACCGACGGAAUAAUUCUCCUGAUAUAACGCUUCAUUGAGCUGCGUCCCGUCCUCGGUCACAGAGGAUGGGAACAGCAGAAGCCACUCUCCGCAUGGACAGUAUGGAAGUGAAGGACGAGUGGCAGGAUGAAGACUUCCCCAGGCCACUACCAGAAGAUGGGGAUGGCCUCACAGACAACAGAACCAAUCCUCCCUCUACUCUGAACAUGGGAGAGACAAUGGCGCAGAGGAAACGGCGCACCCUGGUGGCCCCUGAUAUGAACUUGUCCUUGGACCGCAGUGAGGGCUCAGUGCUCUCCGACGACUUCCUAGAGACUCCGGAUGAUUUGGACAUCAAUGUGGAUGACAUUGAGACUCCUGAUGAGACAGACUCACUGGAGUUCAUCAACAAUGGCAAUGAACUGGAGUGGGAAGAUGACACUCCGGUUGCCACAGCGAAGCGUCUGCCUGGAGACAGUGAGGAAGAGCGCGACUCUUCAGGAAAACUGUGGCGCACGGUGCUGAUAGGUGACCAGGAGCAGAGGAUUGACAUGCAGGUCAUACGGCCGUACCUGAGAGUGGUCACCCACGGAGGUUAUUACGGUGAAGGUCUGAACGCCAUCAUCGUGUUCUCAGCCUGUUAUCUUCCUGACAGUAACUGUGAGGACUACACAUACAUCAUGGAGAACCUCUUCCUAUAUGUUGUAAGUAGUCUGGAGUUACUUGUGGCAGAGGAUUAUAUGAUCAUUUACUUGAAUGGAGCGACACCACGUAGGAGGAUGCCCGGGAUCAGCUGGCUCAAGAGAUGCUACCAGAUGAUUGACAGGAAGUUGAGGAAGAAUCUGAAGUGUCUUGUCAUCGUUCACCCAACGUGGUUUAUCAGGACUGUCAUAGCCAUCUCCCGACCUUUUAUCAGUGUGAAAUUCCUAGAUAAGAUUCGUUAUGUUCAGACCCUGGAGGAGCUGAGUCAGAUCAUCCCCAUGGAGCAUGUGCAGAUCCCCGACUCUGUGCUGCAGUAUGAUGAUGACAAGAUCAGAGCACAAAAGGAAAGACUUGACCAGGAUAAGCAGGCAAAUCCAAUACCAGCCAAGGAAAGGGAAUAACACCUGUCCAAUAAUAGACACUACCAAGAUGCCAAGAAGUAAAUAUAUCUAGCUAUAUGAACUCAUCUUUACAUAUUUGGCCAUUGUAAACAUGUUAAUAUAGUAAUCGAAGUAAAAACAACCCUAAUUCUACAGAGAGCCUGAAAAGUUAUUGACUGUUGCUGUAAUUAGUCUGACCUGCAUCUCUAGUGAAAUCAUGUGAGGGUUGCAGAAAGCAUAGCCUAAUAUGGACUUUCUGAUGGUUUGUGUUUAAUGUGUGACUUCCAGGCCCAAGUCGAUGAUCGCUGACGUGAGCCGUGACAUCUGACAUUCAGAGCACUGGGCUGAGGACCUUCAGGGCUGAUCUCAAACAUCACCAUGAAUGUGUUGCACCAUCUCACAUUUCCUGAUCUGACCAUUGGAAUCAGGACAAUCAUUUUUGAGGCAUUGGUUUUAAUGACAUGCUCACUUUCAUCAUGACAUUUAAUUUGUACCAAAGUAUUAGAUCCAUUUCACAGUUUCUGCUCGUCGCAUGUCAUCUUCAGUUUACUUAUAGCAUGGCUUUAAUUAGAUAAACAAGAAUCUAAACACUAGAGGUCUGACAUAGUAUUUGAAAUGUACAUAUUGUAAAAUAUUUUGGGAACGCUGUUUGCACAAAUGUUUGAUUUUAAAUGUUUUGGUAUUGUUUAGUUUUAAGUAUCUUUUAAAAAUCAUGUGCAAUGAAAAGGACCUUUUAGACCAUCUAUAGAUGUUACUGAUGCAAAAUGUGUUCUCCAUCAUUGGAUAUGCAGGUGGCAUGCUCGUUUAUGUCGUCUGUCCAGUUUCUCUGCCAGGUUUUGUCAUUUGUCAUCAUGGUUUGCCAAUUAUUUUACAAUAAGGAAAAUAUUGUACAUUAUAGAUGAAAUGAAAGCUAUAUUUAAGGAAAGCAUCAUUGAUGAAAGUCUUAUUUAUGAAAAAGGUGCCAUUCGGUGUUUGUAUGAAAUAAAUGUAAUUUGGAUUGAC